AGAGUUUGAUUAUGGCUCAGGAUGAACGCUAGCGGCAGGCUUAACACAUGCAAGUCGAGGGGCAGCGCGGGGUAGCAAUACUCUGGCGGCGACCGGCGAAAGGGUGAGUAACGCGUGAGCAACGUGCCCGUAUGUGGGGGAUAGUCGAUGGAAAACGUCGCGUAAUACCCCGUAACACACGGAACUGCAUGGUUCUGUGUUGAAAGAUAUGAUUGCAUACGGAUCGGCUCGCGUGCCAUUAGGUAGACGGCGGGGUAACGGCCCACCGUGCCGACGAUGGCUAGGGGUUCUGAGAGGAAGGUCCCCCACAUUGGAACUGAGACACGGUCCAGACUCCUACGGGAGGCAGCAGUGAGGAAUAUUGGACAAUGGCCGGAAGGCUGAUCCAGCCAUGCCGCGUGCGGGAAGAAUGCCCUAUGGGUUGUAAACCGCUUUUGCGGGGGAGCAAUAAGGGUCACGCGUGGCCCGAUGAGAGUACCCCGCGAAUAAGCAUCGGCUAACUCCGUGCCAGCCGCCGC
rnacentral:rRNA from 1 species